UGACGUCACCACAGGUCCUUCAGCCGUUACACUCUAAGGGGCAGAGAGCAGGUCUUGGUCAGGCGCCCGCUGUACUAGAGGCCUCCAAGUCAACCGCUUUUCUCUUCUUCUCCCGAAUGACCUACCAAGGAUGGACGAGGACAAGAAUGAGAUUUCCAGAAGAAUAUUAGGCUUCACCCUGGAGAUCAUCUCCCUGUUGAGCGGAGAGGAGUACACAAUCGUGAAGAAGACAUCGGGGGACUGUAUGACUCCCAUCAUCCAUCUCC